AUUGAACGCUGGCGGCAGGCCUAACACAUGCAAGUCGAACGAGUGGCGGACGGGUGAGUAAUGUCUGGGAAACUGCCCGAUGGAGGGGGAUAACUACUGGAAACGGUAGCUAUUACCGCAUACCAUCGGAUGUGCCCAGAUGGGAUUAGCGAGUAGGUGGGGUAACGGCUGACCUAGGCGACGAUCCCUAGCUGGUGUGAGAGGAUGACCAGCCACACUGGAACUGAGACACGGUCCAGACUCCUACGGGAGGCAGCAGGAGGGAAUAUUGCACAAUGGGCGCAAGCCUGAUACAGCCAUGCCGCGUAAAAGAAGAAGGCCUUCGGGUUGUAAAGUACUUACAACGAGGAGGCGUUACUCACAGGAGAAGCACCGGCUAACUCCGUGCCAGCCGCCACGGUAAUAC
rnacentral:rRNA from 1 species